GGUGAGCACACAAGCGGGGUUGCCACAAGGAACUGGCAACUGUGUCUGAGGAAGGCUGGACUGCAGAUUCCAAUCUACAUCCGUAACAUGAAUUCUGUAAGAAAGAAGAGGCAACAAGACUCUGUCCACUGAAAAAUCCUUGAUGAAAUAACAACCCAGGAGCAGUGAGACCACCUGGCACCCAGGUCUGGAUUUCUAAACACUGUUACCCACCAAGAGGAACUAAAAUUUUCUGCAGAAAUGGCUGACUCCAUAUCCAUGGAAAUGAAGCUCCAAGUGAAGCCCAGGAUGUCUUACAGUCCCAAGAUGGAGGGAGAGGCUUAAAAACUCCUGGGGUCACAUGGAAAGGAUGCGAAACUGACUUGAGGGAUCCACGUGGCGAUGUCUGGGACUACUGAGCAUCAAUAAGAAUGACUGUAGUUAAUGAAAAUACAUUAAACAAAUAGAAAAUU